UUGGAGGGCAAGUCUGGUGCCAGCAGCCGCGGUAGUUCCAGCUCCAAUAGCGUAUAUUAAAGUUGUUGCAGUUAAAAAGCUCGUAGUCGAAUUUCGGGAUCAAUUUGCUGGUCGUGCCUCUGGUACGUACUGGUAUUAUUGGUUUCUCCCUUCUGACGAACCAUGAUGUCAUUAAUUUGGUGUCGUGGAGAAUCAGGACUGUUACUUUGAAAAAAUUAGAGUGUUUAAAGCAGGCAUUAGCUUGAAUACAUUAGCAUGGAAUAAUGAAAUAGGACGUUUGAUCCUAUUUUGUUGGUUUCUAGGAUUGACGUAAUGAUUAAUAGGGAUAGUUGGGGUCAUUAGUAUUCAAUUGUCAGAGGUGAAAUUCUUGGAUUUAUUGAAGACUAACUACUGCGAAAGCAUUUGCCAAGGAUGUUUUCAUUAAUCAAGAACGAAAGUUAGGGGAUCGAAGACGAUCAGAUACCGUCGUAGUCUUAACCAUAAACUAUGCCGACUAGGGAUCGGAUGAUGUUAAUUUUCUAAUGACUCAUUCGGCGCCUUACGGGAAACCAAAGUGUUUGGGUUC
rnacentral:rRNA from 1 species